AUUGAACGCUGGCGGCAGGCCUAACACAUGCAAGUCGAGCGGAUGAGUGGAGCUUGCUCCAUGAUUCAGCGGCGGACGGGUGAGUAAUGCCUAGGAAUCUGCCUGGUAGUGGGGGACAACGUUUCGAAAGGAACGCUAAUACCGCAUACGUCCUACGGGAGAAAGUGGGGGAUCUUCGGACCUCGCGCUAUCAGAUGAGCCUAGGUCGGAUUAGCUAGUUGGUGUGGUAAUGGCUCACCAAGGCGACGAUCCGUAACUGGUCUGAGAGGAUGAUCAGUCACACUGGAAGUGAGACACGGUCCAGGCUCCUACGGGAGGCAGCAGUGGGGAAUAUUGGACAAUGGGCGAAAGCCUGAUCCAGCCAUGCCGCGUGUGUGAAGAAGGUCUUCGGAUUGUAAAGCACUUUAAGUUGGGAGGAAGGGCAGUAAGCUAAUACCUUGCUGUUUUGACGUUACCGACAGAAUAAGCACCGGCUAACUCUGUGCCAGCCGCCGCAGUAACAC
rnacentral:rRNA from 1 species